rnacentral:lncRNA from 1 species
GUUCUUGAGCCUCACAAUCCAGGGAACUACGUUAUGGUUUCUAACCUAUACGCUGAUGCAAAGAUGUGGGACAAGGUGGAUAAGAUCCGAGAGGUGAUGAAACAGAGAGGGAUCAAAAAGGAAGCUGGUUGCAGUUGGGUACAGGUUAAAGACAAGAUACAAAUCUUUGUUGCGGGUGGUGGAUAUGAGUUUCGUAACUCAGAUGAGUAUAAGAAACUAUGGUUAGAAUUACAAGAAGCUAUGGAAAGAUUAGGUUAUGCUCCUGAUACAAGCCUGGUGCUUCAUGAUGUUGAUGAAGCUACCAAGGUGAAUUGGGUUUGUGGACAUAGUGAGAGGCUAGCGACAAGUUAUUCUCUUAUUCAUACCGGUGAAGGGGUUCCGAUUAGGGUUACUAAGAAUCUGAGAGUAUGUGGAGAUUGCCAUAAAUGGAUGAAGAUUGUGUCGCAAGUAACUGGGAGAGUUAUUGUUCUUAGAGAUACAAAACGGUUCCACCAUUUCGCUGACGGUGUCUGCUCAUGUAAAGACUACUGGUGAUCAUGAAAAAAAGUGCUUGAGCUUAGUGCCCUAAGAGUCAUUUGCUGAAGCAUCAUUGUUUGAGAGGUAGAUUGAUCAUAGCCGAAGCGAUGUAACUAAUUUAGUACAUAUGUUAAUGGAAACACAAGCAUUCUUGUUCGGCAAGGACAUUGUCGACGCUGGUAUGAAUAAUAUUUUUGGUUCAAAGAAAAAGAAAACAUAUAAUGAAGAGAAACAAGUGAGGCAAUCAAAGACUGGAGAAAGUUGUUGAGUGUUCACCAAGAAAGGUUUUUGAAGGAAGAUGGUCACAUCACAUGAGGUGAAGCCAAGUCACGCUUGGAGUUUUUUUUUAAGCGCGCUUUGCAAUUUCAAAUUAGGAAAUUUCUUGCUUUUUACUAUAAUUUUGGUUAUUCCAGUUAAAUAUUUUUGUUUUGACUUUUUUUUUUAAAUCGUGAUUAUUGUGGAUAUAUAAAAAAAUUAUUUAUAUCUAAAGAAAAUAACAGAAAAUUUGUAUGGUGGAUCAUAAUGCAUCAAUGAUUUGGUAGAAGUUAGUUUUUUUCAUUACUUGACUUCUCUUUAUUAUAUUAAUAAUGAUUUUGUAGAAUAUUUUGAAAUCCUAUCUUAUUGCAUCAAACAUGUGCUAAAAUUAUUCAAAUUUUAAGAUUAUUGGAUUAGUUGUUCAUAAAAAUAUUUAAAAUCUAGAGAAUUUUUUUGUCAUCAUCUAGAGAUUUUUUUAAAUAUGUACAAAAAAUUGAAUAAUUUCGAUGAUUAUGGUACCAUUUCAAAUGACGGUAUUUGAUAAAAAAAAUGGAAGGCAAAAACUAAUAAAUCACUUUGGAUCUUUAAUUUACAAAUAUUACUAAGACUUUUAUGUAUCCAAAUAAAUCCAAAUCACUAAUCCAAUAGGACCAAUACCCUUAGUAAAAUUAUUUUAAUAUAAACCUUUGUAUAACUCCGUUUAAGUAUGUUCCAAGUGAGAAGACGUGAACUUUGAAGAGAUAAAAGAAGAUUUUCUUUAGUGUUUUUGAGAGAUUAGUCAUCUUAUAAAAUAUUUUUGAAAAGAACGAAGAUCAAGAAUGUCUCCUCUUCAUGGUUCUUGUGGUUGUGCUUCCGUAUUAUGUGUGUUAUCAGCGCGACAAUCCGACUCAUCCCCGUCGUAAUUUUCAUUUGUUAAACAAUUUUUUACUUACUACAUCGGAUUUGAGGGCUGAUGUGGUAGACAUCUCGAUGAAACAAAUUGAGAGUUAUCUGCUAGAUUCACCAAGUAAGAAAAAAACAAGUUAUUUAGCAAAAAAAAAAAAAAAAAAAAAAAAAAAACAAGAUGUCAAAGGGUUUUUCUAAUGCUUUGGAUUGGUUUCCCUGUCUUUUGUUUUUUUUUCUUGUUUGUAAUUAAUUAUAUCUAAAAUAAAUUUGAAUCUAUCACACAUGGUUGGGAUUCGAUUCCAGCCAAGGUUCAGAUUUUAGUGAAAAAUAUAAUCUUAGUUUUGAAAUAAAUAUGGGAUCAGUUUUUUUUUCUUUUCAAUUCCAAAAUAUUUAAAUGAUAAGUUGUUUGGUUCCUUUUGAUUGGAUCAAUUAAUUAGGAUUGAACAAAUGUACGAUUCUACAAUAUUGGAUAUCGAAAAUCCAGGCCAGUUUUUGCUAGUAGCAGCUCAUCACUUGUCACUUGUCAGGAUGCUUCCCAUGAAUAAAGCUAAAGCUACCGUGAAUCCGUGAUAUUACCAAAAAAGAACCGAAGGCAUAAGUGUAUAAGUGUUAUUUAUAUCUUGCAAAAAUUAUUGAAUAUUGACUAUAGUUUGUUAUUAGUCAAUAGUCAAUCGUUUCCAAGUCCAAAUGUGAAACUGCAUAUGCUAUCAAUGUCGCUAUGAAUGAUUUUACGUACUGAACUAUGAAGAGUUUACAUCUCCCAACGCUCCUUACUGACAACAAUUUAACAUGACAAACUGUUUGUACGCCCAGGAACACAUGCAAAACGUGUACGCAGACAAAAUCUACCAACCAAUGUGACCUUACAAAAGAAUAAUUUACUGACUCGAUAUGGUUGGCUGUAUAAUAGUUGCACAUGCAAUAUACAUACUCCCUCCAUUUAAAAAAAAACGUAGCACUUUUGACAUUUUUCGCACAGAUAAAAAGUGAUUGAAAUGUAUUUAAAUUAAUAUUAAUUACAUAUAUUUAACCAAUAAUAUUAAAAAUAAAUAAAUUAUUUAUAAAAUCAAUACAAUUUGCAAUUAUUUUUUAACUGAAAGUAAGUAUAAUUUGUAUUGAAAUUCUAAAGUGAUAUUUUUGUGUAACAAAAAAAUUGUUAGAAUAAAACUUAUUAUGAAAUAGAGGGAAUAUUAAUUAUGAUAAUUACGUAUGUUAUUCUUGUUUGAUAAUUAAUCCAGAUAGUAUUAUAUUUUCUUAUACAAAGCAAUCGAAAAUACAACUUGGGCUGUCGCUUUAAAAAAAAAAGGAAACUUAGACACAUUUAUCAUAAAAGUUUGACCUACAUCGGAUGCCCUGUAAAUGGUUGCCGGAAAAGGAGUACGCAAGUUGAUUGUUUCUUUUUAUCAUAACCCACACUAUUAGUUAUUCUUCUUUCUUUUUCUAUUAUAAUGAUUAUAAAUUGUUGAACGAAGGAAAAAGAUAGUGAAAUGUUUAAUAGUAAAUAAGAAUUUACAUUAUUUUAACAUAACAUUCUUUUACUUAAAAAGAGAAUGAAAAGUUACCGAGAGAAAGAAAAAAAGAAAGACUGUACGUGAUGAUUGUAAUUUACAAAGAUACCUGCUUUUCCUUAACGAGUCAACAAACUUUAAAACUAAUAAGAGUAGCAUUUUAUACUAUUAUGGCCGAGGUAGCUUUCGUAGUUGAGACCAUGCGCAUCAAGGGAUUAUGAGGGGGUCGUGGGCUCGAGUUUUUAGGCCCGAUUGAUUUAAAAAAAAUGAAAAAUGGGUUUUAAUCGACGAACCGGGCCUUACGCUUGAACCCGUAAGAGGCGAGUUCAAGCCACGCGUCGGGCGGUGAGUGGCUUCUCCUUUCCGCGUCGAUGAGGAAGAAAGGAGGGGAUACGCGUGAACCAGUUCAUUUCUCUCAUCAGUGAAAAACGCUAGGGUUUUUUCUCUCCGAGGCGAUAGUCCACGCCGUCGCGAUUCCGUCGUUAUUUCUCCAUCAAAUCGAUUACGUUUUCUCUUCUCCACACUCUUAGGUCAGUAUUGAGUAGAUUGACGGUGUGGUAGCGUAGAUUUUAUGUGCGAUAAGGAUUUGCGAUGGGGUGAUUAUAAAUCGAUUUGGGGAUUUUAUUUUUUAGGGUUUUUAAUGGUUAUGGGAGUUCGAUUGAGGGUUCAGUUACUCAUAUUCUUCCUUAAUUAUGUGCUAAUAAUUUGAUUUCUGUCACAGAUGGAUCCGGCAGAGGAGAGAAGACAUUCAAAGAGGCAACAGGAUCACAUAAACAUGCUAGGGUUCGUCAGCGAUUCAGAGUACGGGAUUCCCAAAAGGUGUCCAUGUGGUGGGAGAAUCAUCGAUGAGGUUCGCCGGAAGGACGACUACGACACUCUUCCGGGGAAGCGGUUCUUCACAUGCAAGAACUACGAGGUAAGUUUGAUUUUAAACGCUUUGAUUAUCGUUUAUGGGUUUGCAAAUUGUAGAGUGUCUGAUAUUUGUUUAUGGUGUAACCAAGGCUGAUGGAUUCCACUAUCGUCAGCCUUGGGUGAUAGGUGUGCAGGAGGAGAUCGAAAGGUUGACUAAGCGGGUGGUGGAGGCUGAAGAAGUGAUGUUGGGGUCGUCGAAUCUCUGUAAACUGAUCGACAGACUGGAGGUUAGUGACAACACAUUUUCAAUACUUGUGUGGUAUGUUUUGCGUGACUAACACUUUUUGUUUGAUGUUUACAUGUCCAGGAUCAGGUUAAAAUGCUCUCUGAGCAGGUAGAUGACCUCACCGUGCAGGUUGCUACGUUGGAGAAGGUCUGCUUCGAAUGAAACCGAAGGUAAGACUGAACCCCACUUUAGAUGUAGUUCGAAAAUGGCUGUUACAAAUUGUUGAUUGGUAUAACCAGUUUAACUAUUUAAUAAGUUAACUAAAAGUGAUGAAAGCUUAAAAGAUAACUACAACAAUAACUACAACUCCAACUAGAACUCUAACUACAACUUUUAAAAAUCUUUAAUUAAUUUUUUGUUGGUUGUUGGUUGCUGUGAACUCUCAAUAGAUUGUACUUAGGUGUAGUUAAUAUUUUCCAGUGAGUUGAUGUGUAUUCACUGCCGUUUGUGAAGUACUUGUGGUAGGUAGAGUUUGUUUAAUUCUUCUGGUUUAGUUAAUUAUCUCAAAUGAAAGCAAAAACUAGUUUAUAAAACAUAGCAAAUCCACAACUAAAAACACACAAACAUUUAAACAACAAACCAAACCCAAAAGAUAAUGGAUCCUUUCUCCUACACCUCUCCCGGGUUUGUUAACCUUUUAGCUUCGCAGAGCAGUCCCCCACACGACGUGGACUCUGCGGAGGCAGUUGGUAACUCACCCGGGUUAGUUAAACCUGUAGAAAGAAGAAAGUGGGUUGUCAAAGAAGACCUUGUGCUCAUUAGCGCUUGGUUGAACACGAGCAAGGAUCCCAUAGUCGCUAAUGAGCAGAAGGCAGGGGUGUUUUGGAAGAGAAUAGAGGAGUAUUUUAACUCAAGCCCUCAGCUCAUUGGCGCCGUUCCUAGAGAAUGGAGUCAAUGUAAGCAGAGGUGGGGAAGGGUGAAUGAGCAGGUGUGCAAGUUCGUUGGUUGCCAUGAAGCCGCUUUGAAGGAGCAGACAAACGGGCAAAAUGAGAAUGAUGUCAUGAAAGCUGCACAUGACAUCUUCUUCAAUGACUUUAAUGUCAAGUUCGCACUUGAACAUUGCUGGAGGGAGCUGAGAUUUGAUCAGAAAUGGAGGUCACACGCGUUGUCGAAAGUUGGUGGAAAGGAGAAGAGGAAGGAAGCAUGUCCGGAGGUGGUGGGUGACGAUGAAGAGGUGAGGCCUCCUGGUGUAAAGGCGAGCAAAGCAGCCAAGCGCAAGAAACACGGGAACAAAGCAGCUUAUGAUCAAAUAGAAACCAUGCUAGCUCUGAAAAAUAACAUUUCUAAACAAAAGAUCCUUGAUCGUCUCAUUGGCAAAAAUGAGGAGACUCUUUCUGAUCAAGAAAAAUCCCUUAAGUAUAAACUAAUUGGUGAAAUGCUUUGAGUUGGUUAGUGCCUUGUAUUGUUGCUUUGCUUAGCGUGAUCGGAUGGAAUGUUUACGUUGCUUAGCUUAACUUUAUUCGAUGCUUAACAUGAAUUAUUGAUUGGGUUUUAUUUUCUUUUGCAGGUCAGAGAGUGCAGGUCACGGGUUGGAGUGAAGGUGUUGGAGUUGAUCAGUCGGUAAAGUUGAAGCCUAGUUUUUUUUUUUAAUGUUGGGGGUAGUUGGACACGGGAAAGUGUAGUGUUUUGUUUCUUGCUACACUUAUUUCAUUCACGGAUUGUCUUAGUAUGUAUUGUGUCAGUCACAACUUGAUUCACGGAUUAUGUAAUAUGGUUUCAAACUCUCUAUAUAUGUUUGCAUUGUAUCAUUAUAUGAAAUAGCACUUCUCUCACUUAUUACUCUCUAGCAAGUUCAUUCUCUUAUAGCACUUCUCUUUGUAUUGACUGAGAUAAGAAUGUUUAGUUGUAAAUGCUAAAAAGUCGAGAUCAUUCAAGUGAUUCCCAUUUAGUACCAGUUAUGAAGGAAGCCGACACAUUCAAGUGAUUCCCAUUUCGCUGCAAGGUGAUUCACAAACGGAGACACACGCAAAGAUCCACAACAAGGUAUAAUAUACAACUUAGUAAUGAAAAAAUUAUAAGAUUAUGAAAAGAAAAGAUUAUAGAGUAAUAAUGAUAGAGUAAUGUGUAAAAUAGAUUAUAGAGUAAUAAUGAUAGAGUAAUGUAUAAAACAAAAUUUAAUGUUAUGACAACUUUUAUAGACUAAUGUUAUGACAACUUUUAUAGACUAAAGUGUAAGAUUAUUCACAUAAAAGAUGAUAGAGUAAUACUAAAAAAAAAAAAAAUAGAAUAUGAAAAAAAAUAAAAGAUUAUGAAAAUAAAUUAUAGCAUUAUGACAACUUUUAUAUUGUCACAAAAGUAAAAGAUUAUGUAAUAAAAAUAUAAUUAUGACAAUUAUUAAGACAACUUUUAUAUUCUUAGGACAACUUUUAUAUAAUUAUGAUGAAAGAGUAUUUUAAAAAUAUAGAUUUUGAAAAUAAUUUAUAUAAUUAUGACAACUUUUAUAUUAUUAAGAAAACUUUUGUCAUGUUAGGAAAAAAAACACCAAUGUCUUCCUCAUCAAGUGAUGAAGUUGAUGAAGCUUUAGAAGAAAUGGUUGACCAAAUAGUUGAUAAUUUCAUCGACUCAGUGAUUCAUGCUCAUCCCAACAAGCCGACGAGAAGAGCUUAUAUCGAAAGACAUCGGGAACAAGGACACAAUCAACUAUGGAACGAUUAUUUCACGGAAAAUCCUACAUACCCACCGAAAAUGUUUAGGAGGCGUUUUCGAAUGAACAAGCCAUUGUUCCUUCGCAUUGUCGAACGUAUAACUAAUGAAGUUCCAUACUUUCAGCAAAGAUGAAAUGCUUGCGGAAGGAACGGGCUAUCUGCACUUCAAAAGUGUACGGCAGCUAUACGUAUGCUGGCAUAUGGUCAAUCGGGAGAUACAUAUGACGAAUAUCUCCGACUUGGUGACAGUACAUCACGUUUAUGUUUAGAAAAUUUCACUAAUGCAAUAAUUUAUUUCUUUGGAGAUGAGUAUCUACGAAGCCCUACACCUGAAGAUCUUCAACGAUUACUCGAUGUCGGAGAGGUACGCGGGUUUCCAGGGAUGAUAGGCAGCAUCGAUUGUAUGCAUUGGGAGUGAAAAAACUGCCCAACAGCUUGGAAAGGUCAGUACACACGUGGUUCAGGAAAGCCGACAAUUGUCUUAGAAGCCGUGGCAUCACAGGAUCUUUGGAUAUGGCACGCAUUUUUCGGAUUACCAGGUACCCUCAACGAUAUCAAUGUUCUUGAUCGGUCACCAGUUUUUGAUGACAUCUUACAAGGUCGAACACCUAAAGUUAAGUUCAAGGUCAACAACCACACUUAUCGUAUGGCCUACUAUCUUACGGACGGAAUUUAUCCGAAAUGGGCAACAUUUAUCCAAUCCAUCCCACUUCCUCAAGGUCCUAAAGCUGAGCUAUUUGCUGAACGUCAAGAAUCCACCAGAAAAGAUGUCGAACGGGCUUUUGGAGUAUUGCAAUCGAGGUUUGCAAUUGUUAAAAACCCAGCUCUACUAUGGGACAAGGAAAAGAUAGGAAAGAUUAUGAGAACUUGUGUCAUAUUGCACAAUAUGAUAGUAGAGAACGAACGACACGGAUACGCUCAAAUUGAUACAUCUGAGUUCGAGUCAGGAGAGUCAAGUAGAAGUUCGAGGGUGCAACGGAGAGAAAGUAUUCAUGUCGGUGAUAUGUUAGGCAUUCGCAGAGAAGUUCGAGAUAAAGAGAAGCAUGAUCGUUUGAAAGCUGAUUUAAUGGAAAAUAUAUGGCAAAAGUUUGGUAAUGAAGAUUAAUAAUGUUUUUAUGUUCUUCUAUUUCUCAAUUUAUGUAAUCUACUCUUAUGUAUUGAAUAAAAAGUUUUAAAAUAUUUAUAAUAUAUUUUAAUAUUUUAUUUAUGUAUUCUCAAUAAUUUGAAAUUUUCUUUUUUUUUUAAUUUAUAUUAUUAUUUUAUUCCUAUGAACUCCUUCUUCGGGUUCACUAAUGCAGAAAACAACAAAUACAGGUUCAUAAUUAUUUGUGGCCCCACCAAAAAAUAUUAAAAAAAUUGGGUGAACCCCAAUGGGAGGUUCACCAAUGCUCAUGCUCUGAAUACUCUUUCCCCUAAAAAAGUUCUUACCUUACGUUCUGCGGUCUAUUAAGUAUUAUCCCUUACCAAAAGCAUAUUAAAUUAAUCAUUUACCGAUGAAAUAUGGUCAUGUAACUAGAUUACUUACAUGUUUUUAGUUAUGUUUAGUAGUGCACAUAACUAAUAUUCUCACCUACGAAAUAUUUUUUUUGCUAUAUUGGAGAGAAGAUCCUACAUCGAAAAUAUAAAAGGGGCUUGAAUAAUAUAUAAGAGACUUGAGCCAAUCCACUAAUUGCCAAUUGGUUUUAAGUUGAAAGCCCAUGAAUAAACCCGAAUCUAACAUGGUAUCAGAGCGGACCCAAUACACUGAUCCAUUAAUCCGAUCCGGACAGUGGCCCGAUCAUCCCAUUAGCUGAUGGCCCAUAGAAGGCUCAGUUCCACCGAGAUCGCUAAAAAAUAAAGCAUGAUUUCGGAGGGGGUAUGAUGGAUUCUGCGAGAUUAAUGGUUAUACGCACCAUUAUCUCGAAGGAGGGUAUUGGAGAGAAGAUCCCACAUCGGAAAUAUAAAAGAGACUUGAGUAAUAUAUAAGAGACUUGACCAAUCCACUAAUUGCCAAUUGGUUUUAAGUUGGAAACCCAUGAAACUUAUCAUGCUACAACUGUCAAUAUAUCAUAAAGGAACGAAUGUUGAUGUUUUACAAAAGUAGACCUACAUAAUUGUCACCUUGGCAAAGAGAAGAACAAAAAUAAGGAAAGAAGAUGCUUACUAAGGGGGAUUUCCUUCAGACGAGCCAGAGGCAUGUGGUCAUUGAACUUGCGUCUGAGUCUUUUAAGACCGUUGCAGGGAAAUUAAAAAGUCUGCGAGUUGUGAUUAUAUGAACUGGAAACAAUAUGAUACAUUUUAAAAAAAUAAUAUGAUACAUGAAAUACGUGUAAAUAAGUGAUAUAAGUGGCAUCGUUGAAACUGUUACAUAUUUUAUUAGUUGUUUUAUUCCGGUUUGGUUAUCCAGACUAACUCAAGUUUAAGUAAUAUAAUGGCCUUUUGACGUCAAAAAAAAAACUGUUAAAAAGUAUAUGAAUACAAACGGAUCAUUGUACGUUUGAAACUAGCUAAUUAUACGAUUAGUGAAGUUAUAUAAAUACUUGGCAGAUGUGUCAUUUAUAAUAUCCUUUUUCUGUCAAGGUUAUAAUAACCUUUCGAAGCACAAACUACUAGUACAUUUCAACCAUUCAUACAUUUUUUUCUUAUAAAUUGUUCUUGGAGAUGCUUUUAGAACAUGCAAGCUCGAUCGAGGAAUAUUGUGAAAAAAAUAGUAGCCAAUAACUCAACCGACACUAAUGCAUAUCUAAUUUUAUAAAACAAAGGUUUCUUCUUAUGUAUUAUAGAAACAAAAAGUUAUCGCCAGGAAGCUAGGAUUUGCUUUGUACGUAUGCCGACAAAACUUGUAUUUCAGAAUUUACUUUUAAGUCUAAUUAGUGGAGUAUUUUGUUUUCCAGUUGGUAUAUGCUAUACGGACCCAUGACAGGCUUGCACCAGCCUAUUACAGUUCUACAGCCAUCCGCCUAAAUACUUUAUAUUUAUUAUUUCAUCGCUAUGUAGCACUUUUGCUUUGCCUUAUUUCCACAAGUCAAUAAUCCGUACUGUGCGCAGAGUGAAAUAAUAAAUUAAAAUUAUUUAUUUAUGUUAGAAUAAAAAAUUUAUCUUAUAGCUUUUUCAAAGAUGAUAUUUAGAUAUUCGUUCGGAUAAAGAUAAUUUAUUCAGAUUUCAAAUUUUAGAGUUAGAAAUUUAAAUAUGAUUCAGAUAUUUACAAAUUUUGAUUUGAAUUUGUUUUGGAUUUGGUUCGAAUCAUUGCAAAUUUGGUUCAGUUUCGAGUUUGGAUACACAUUUUAAUUAUGCAACAUUUUAGCAAAAAUCCAAAUAUGCUUAAUCCUCAAAAUACGAAAAUAAAAAUAAUAUAACAAAUAAAAUUCUGAAUAAUGUAAAACUAAAUACUUAAUUUUACAUAAAAACUAGUUCAAUUUAAAUAUUUAGAUGGAGAAAAUAAUAUAUUUUUAGUAUUUUGAACAUAUUUGGUUAAUUUAUAUAUUUUCAUAUUAAAGAAUAUCUAAUAGAUAUAAAAUUUAAAAUAACUAAUAUAUUUAAGUAUAUAAUUAUGUUUUAGAUAUUUUUAAUAUUCCAAAUAUUUCAGUUCUUGAUCGGAUUCGGGUCCGGUUAUCCAGAUAUUAAACUUUUAGAUCCAUUUGAGUACUUAAUCAAUUUUGGUUUGUGUUUAGUAUUACUUUCAAAUCAAGUUCGAUUCUUCGGAUCUAAAUAUUUUACCCAGACAUACUUUCUUCUACUAAUAUAAAUAAAAAUAAAUAAAUAAAUGUAAAACUAAUAUGUUGGGCUUCUUUUUCAUACAUAAUUAUUGGACCAUACUUUAAAAAUACCAAUAAAAAUGGUUGGGCGUCAUGUCAUUGGGCAUGUUACAAAAUUAACGUAGUCUAUAACCAAUAACGUGUAUUUUAUUAUAGAAAAUUCUUGGUAAAUAUAAUAAAAAUAUGUUCCUAGUGAAAUAGGUUAGAGUUGCGUCGAAAAUAAUGUAAUCUCUGGUACAUACAUCAUUUAAUGUGAUCUCUGGUACAUACAUUGGUAAUUCAACAUAAUUCUCAAUAUGGUAAAUGAAUAUUAUUAUUUCAGAAAUAAAUAUUACUACGAAACAGAUAUUUUUAAAUAAAAAUAUGGAAAUAUCUAAUGCAUCAGUUUCCAGAAAAAAAAAAGUUAUUUCGGUCAAUUAGUUAAAGACCUUAAGGUGUAUAUAUAGAUUAAACGUUGACAAGAGUGGUGAGUUCAUCACUAGUAACUGGUAAGCUUCUUUGUAUUUUACUGUAGUUUGCACUAGUGUUGUUAAUUUUGAGAAUUCAAACUUAUGUCUGAUUUGUACUAGUAUUGCAAAUUUAUAAACAACUUGUUCACGGCAUCCGAAAGAUCGAAAUUGUAACUUGGGGGACUACUUCUGAAACCACAUUUAUUUCCAAAGACAUCCGUAUAUACUCAGUUUAUAAACUGUACGAUAGUUUAUAAACCACAUUUAUAGUAGUGUAGUCAUGCAUACGUGUAUGUGUGAUGUGUCUUACUGACGUCAUAAUUAUUAUACUUAGAAUAUGCAACCUAGGUGAAUUCUGUUACUUAGACUAUUUUUCUGUAUUAAAAACGUCAUAAUUUUCUUUUAAAUAAUAGUAUCAUUUUCACGAUUAACAGAAACAUAUACAAAUAUCGAAGUUUCAAGGCUAUUCACUAAAGAAAUAUUUCCAAUUGAAAAGAAAACUGGUAAGCAAAGCGUAGACUUCUCUUCAGCAAAUAUCAAAACCAAAUACAAGGAUACAAAUUUGGGAACACGACAAUAGUACUGUGGAACGGAACUCGAACAAUUGGAAUAAUAUUCUCUUUACAAAAAAAUCUUAUCUUCUAUUAACUAGGCGGCUUAUAACAUGUGGAUUUUUCACUAAAUGUACACUCAAAUAAUAGAGUCAAGAAAAUUUAGAAGAAAGCGAGAAGAUAAGAUAUUAUAAAAAUCUUAUCUUCUAUUAACGGCUUAAUAACAUGUGUUUUAUUUCUACUGAAUGUAUUUAUUUACACUAUAGAGUCAAGUAAGAAGAAAGAGAAAAGAGCCUAUAAAAAUAAAUAUCGUUUCUAAUUUUAAUUUCAUCAAUAUAAACACCCCACUCUUGAAGAGAACAUUAAACCAAGUGUCAAACAAUGGCAUCAUCUAUCAAAGAAAUCUUCUCCAAAGAUAAUUUCAAAAAAAACAAGAAAACUGUUUUACUAUCUGCCGCCGUAGCUUUGCUCCUCGUGGCUGCCGUCAUCGGAAUCGCCGCCGGAGCUUCAAAAGCCAACGGAAACAGAAAAAAACCUCUAUCACCGUCCUCUCAUGCCGUGCUAAGAUCCGCUUGCAGUUCCACGCUGUACCCUGAGCUCUGCAUCUCCGCCGUGGCCACGUCCGGCGGCGUCAAACUGACGUCGCAGAAAGACGUCAUUGAGGCAUCGCUUAACCUAACAACAAUCGCCGUGGAACACAAUUACUUCACCGUGAAGAAACUGAUCAAGAACAGGAAAGGACUUACUCCACGUGAGAAGACGGCGCUUCAUGACUGUUUGGAGACUAUUGAUGAGACGCUUGAUGAGCUUCAUGAGACACUGGAAGAUCUCCAAAUGUACCCUAACAAAAAAACUCUAAGGGAACACGCUGGUGAUCUCAAAACCCUAAUAAGCUCUGCCAUUACCAAUCAGGAGACUUGUCUCGACGGAUUCUCUCAUGAUGAUGCUGACAAGAAAGUCCGUAAGGUCUUGUUGAAGGGUCAGGUACGUAAAAACAUUAGUUCUUUAGCCAUUACGGCUCUCAUAUAUAGAAUUGGAGAACAACUGAAAAAAAAUAUAAAAUGUGAAAUGUAUAACAUAAGAGUAUGGAAAAAUGAAUUAAUUUAAAAUUUGCAAAUGUCGACUUAUAAAAUGCAUUUUUUUGGUUCACUAAAUUUGUGGAAUCUGAAUUGACUCAACAUAACAUCACUAUUUUGUUAUUUCAUCGUGGGGUUACGAAUUGAUGUUUUUGUUUUGUUGGAAUGCAUGCGAUGAAAAAAAAUUAUAGAUAGGGUUACAAGAAAACUAAAUAAAUCUUACAUCACAUCACAUUACUUUGACAAUUCUCUGUUUUUUGGAAUUUAUUUUCUUAUAAUGAAAUGUUGUUAGCUAGUGUUGGUAGAAAUAGUUGCUAUCAGUUGUUAUUGGAGUGUAUUUAAUUCUGUAAAUUUGUGAUAACAUGAUUGUUCUUAAAUACAGUUUAAAACGAGAUAAGUAAUGUGUAGGUACACGUCGAGCACAUGUGCAGCAACGCACUAGCAAUGAUCAAGAACAUGACUGAUACCGACAUAGCCAAUUUCGAGCUAAAAGCUAAAUCCUUCUCAAACAACCGUAAACUCAAGGAGGAGGAAACAACGGUGUCCGUAGAUAUUGCCGGCGCCGGAGAAGUAGAUGCAGAGGGGUGGCCUACUUGGUUAUCCGCGGGAGAUAGGAGGCUUCUUCAAGGGUCUUCAGUGAGAGCUGAUGCUACUGUGGCUGCUAACGGUAGCGGUAAAUUCAAGACUAUUGCGGCUGCGGUUGCAGCUGCCCCGGAUAAUAGUAAGAGGAGGUAUGUGAUACAUAUAAAAGCUGGUGUUUAUAGAGAGAAUGUGGAAGUGUCGAAGAAGAAAAAGAAUAUAAUGUUUAUGGGAGAUGGUCGGACAAGAACUAUUAUUACUGGAAAUAGAAACGUCGUCGACGGUAGCACCACCUUUCAUUCUGCCACCGUUGGUAAGCAACUUUAUUUAUUUCUUUUUAUUUUUGAAAUAAUAUUUAAAGUAAUUUUGCACGAUGUGGCCCUUCUUUGUGGUGGAAAACCUUUACUCUUUUCAAGUACAUUAAUUAUUCACAUGUAGAUUCUUAGUCGCAGUAGCCACUACAACAUUUGAUUCGCACAUGUAGCCUAGUAACGAGAUAAAAUUAAAUUUGAACUUGAAUUGCCAUAAAUGAACAAAACGCUUUGUAAGAUAUGAGUCAUGUACGAGUCUUGAUCCAUCAUUUUCUUGGCUUUAUUCUUAUGCUUUUCUAGGUCACUUGUCCUGGAUUGGGUUAAUGGCUCAUCCACUCGUGAGAAGAGCCUUUAACCUUUUGUUUUUUUUGCUUGUUUCAUUGUUGUUGACUUUUCUAUCCGAUCUUGUCCCUUAUUUACAUUUGUUACAUAAUUUCAUUAGAUUACACCUUAGUUAUCCUCACUUUUUUUACUAUACUUUUUCAAUUAUUAUCAUCACAUUUCAAGCUGCAUUUAACUUCUUUUCCGCUUUUUAAAAUAUUUUAUAAGGAGAUAAAAUACAAAUCCUUUAAACUAAAGUGAUAUUCCAGCUAAACAAGUCUUAUGUUAUUGUUAUUAGUCCUUUUAGCUAAUGAUUCCGCUAAACUGAUUGAUAUUUUUUUGUGGGGUCUAGCUGCUGUCGGCGAAAGGUUUCUAGCGCGUGACAUCACUUUCCAGAACACAGCAGGUCCGUCUAAGCACCAAGCGGUGGCUCUCCGUGUCGGUUCUGACUUCUCUGCUUUUUACCAAUGCGAUAUGUUAGCUUACCAAGACACUCUCUACGUCCACUCUAACCGUCAGUACUUCGUCAAGUGCCUCAUCGCCGGAACGGUCGACUUCAUCUUUGGAAACGCCGCCGUCGUUCUCCAAGACUGCGACAUCCACGCUCGUCGACCAAACUCCGGCCAGAAAAACAUGGUCACGGCCCAAGGAAGGACUGAUCCUAACCAAAACACAGGGAUCGUUAUCCAAAGAUGUAGGAUCGGUGCCACGUCGGAUUUGCAGCCCGUAAAAGGUAGUUUCCCGACGUAUCUUGGUCGUCCGUGGAAAGAGUAUUCACAAACAGUGAUCAUGCAGUCGGAUAUCUCGGACGUGAUCCGACCCGAAGGGUGGUCCGAGUGGACUGGGACUUUUGCGUUGAACACUUUGACUUAUAGAGAGUAUGCGAAUAAAGGAGCAGGGGCUGGAACUGCAAGGAGAGUGAAGUGGAGGGGCUUUAAGGUAAUCACUGCUGCUUCUGAAGCUCAGAGAUAUACUGCUGGUCAGUUUAUUGGUGGUGGAGGCUGGUUAGGUUCAACCGGUUUUCCUUUCUCUCUCGGUCUUUGAGAUAUUAUUGUUGUGAAGUGUUGUAACCUACAUAUUGUUGGUCGAAUAAUUAUAAAUUUUAUCAAUAAAUAAAAUGUGUAUGUGCUGUGUAUUUUCAUAUCUUUUCUAGAUCCUAGUAUUGGAGAUUAGUUGAGAUUGAUCACCAAUUGAUUCUUAUACGAAUUAUUGAGUUUAAAAAUUAUUUUAGCUUUCUGAAUUUUUCGAACCCGUCCAUUAUCUGAAUUUCCCACUGUAUUUUUUUUGUCAAGAACAUGUUUAUUUUAGGUCAAGAACAUAAUUUUGAAUCAAGAACAUGUUGGGUAGUGUUUUUAAUAUCUGGAUUAUCAAUUCAUGUUUCUUUCAUGUGGUUAUAGUUUUAAUUCACGAAACAUAUAUCCCUAAUAUAUUUUAAGUUUAUUAAAAAAAAUUAAAACGAACGUUGUAAAAUGAAAUCACAAAUCUACUAAUAAUAGCAAUCUCAAUUAAUUUUAAAGGUUGUGUGCUUUUAUAAAAAAUUCAAUUUUUGUUAAUAGUUGUGUUUGUUCACUUAGGUGUCUUUUGAUUAAAGGUUGUAUCUCUUCAAUAUAAAACUACUGUAAAACUUUAUGAAUAAAUGUGAGAGUUAUUACUGCACAAAAGGAGACAAACACCACACCAAUGUUGGUCGAAUAAAUGAGUUCCCAAGUACGUUAGGAUACGCUUUAUGUAUUAAGAGUCGUAAUCUGUUAUUAAGUUAAUUAUUCAUUUAGAGUCAUGAGAAAGAAGAGACACAAUACUUACGGAAGAGACACAACUCUUAAGGAAGAGACACAACUCUUUGUCUAGUAUAUUACAAUGAUAAACUAAAUAUUUAUAUAUCAUUGAAUUGAUUUUUUAUUCACAAUUUGUUUCCUUACAUCAUCACUAUUUGCAGUCAGCUUAAAAUGAGUUCUUAUAAUACUACAACUUAGUUCGCAAAUACAUACAGUACUCAAGCAUGUAACGCCAACCGGAUCAUAUGAUUUUCUUUUUCUCAACUUCGAAUUUCAUUCAACGACAACGAGAGUUUUUUUAUCUCAUAAGAAAUUCAACCACAAAACAAAAAAGAAAUCUAGUAUCACUGAGGAUCAUGUACGCUACCCAUCAAUCUUCACUGUCCUCUUACAACCACUAAGUGAACGAUUCACUCUAUGACACAGAAUGAACCGUUUCUUAAACCAUCCAAUUCAACUACAAAAUAAUCAUUAAUCCGAGAGAAAACAAAGCUAAAUCAGGAUUACCAAUUUCUAUCCGAUAUUAUUGGUGGCAGUUUGAUUGGAGUGGUAUUCAUGUACCAACAACUUGCACACCAAAGGCACAUAUUCAGAGUCGACUACUAACCACUGGAAAGCAAUGUCUCGAUUCUUGGCCCGCAAAGCAAAACCGAAAGUCCAUAACGAAAAAAUGGGCUUUGACGAUAGCAACAUACCGGUUCAGCAAAUCUUUCAAGCUUCCAGAGGUGUCAUCACGCCGGACAAACCAAUUUGAUACAAUAUGAUUUGCAUCUCGUCUCGAAACUAUUCAGUUUUAGUUUUGAAUAUUUUCCAAAUAAGAUAUUUUAGUUAAUUUAGUGGUGAAUAUAAAUAUUCAUGGAAGACUACAUGCAUAUAAGAGCUUCUUUAUUGGUAGUAUAUAGACUGAUAUCUAAUCGAUAAAGAAAAUAAAAUUAAAUAAAAAAUAAGAGAAUGAAACACCAAAAGUUAUGAGCAAGAGCUAAUUUUUUUCUGUAGACAGAGAAGUAGAGAGACAAAGUAGAUCUAGUUGGUCCCGGCGUACGGCAGGCGCGUGCGCGAGCGUGUUGUCGUCGGGACCGGAGUCCGUCCUUUUAAAAGCUUCCUAGUGUCUCUUCUCCGUAUCCUCUCCACUUUUGCCUUGUCUGAACUGUGACUCCGGCCUAUUCCAUGAUGCAUGGCGGUUUGUUGUUUGGAGUGAAGACGCGAUCGUGGAGAAGGUCUUAUGCGGUGGAGAGGUACCUCGUUUAGAUCAAGGUUAGACUACGGGAGGGGGAGGCUUUUACAGCUCUGUCGUCGCCGGUAUUCUCCGGGAGGUGGAGACUCAUUUUGCUCCGCCGCUGCCGGUUCAGUGUUUCGAGAGGGGGAGGCUUACCUAACUCUGCCGUCGUCGUAUAGUCUCCGGAGAGUGGAGGCUAACACAGCUCUACGCUGCCGGCUUGAAACCCGUAGGAAUUUUGGGUGUUAGCGGUUUAAGGUUGGUUUGGUUUUUGUUCUUGUCGGCCGAGUUGAUUUUAUACAGAUCGGAAGAGAUCUCUGAAGAAGAUUGAGCUUUUUGUGGAUGUUAUCACCGACAAGAAAAGAUAGUUCAGGUCGUGGGUGGUCCUAAUGAGAGCGCAGUGAGUCCGAUGACGCUUUUGAUGGAGGACCACCGGAGAUGAAGACAGUUGUUGCGAGGGGUAAGGGCCGGCGAAAGGAAGGUCCGAUGAGGGGUUCUGGCGGCGUUUCAAGGCGGAGAUGAUCAGGUUGAGGCGAUGUGCGACGCAUGUCGAUCCGAGGGCGUAGAUGCUACCACGUGGCAUGCAGCCAGCCUCCUUGAUGCGAGUAUCCCAGCCGACGUCGGUCGGGUUUAUGUGAUUUGGGCUGUGGACCCGUUUAAAGUUUUUAGAGAGUAGCCGGUAAGUUUUUGGGCUUCUGGGCCUUUUGAUGUUGCAAUUGGAACUUCGGUUAUGUAUUAUGGGUUUAGCCCGGAUUAUUAUUAAUUAAAAAAAAAAUCACUUGGCGGAAAAAAAGAAAAACACCAAAAGUUCUAAGAACCUCUACCGAAACUGUGAGACCACCUGUCUCUUUUCCAAUGGUAAAUGUUUAGGUAAAAUAAAUAAAUUAAUUUACAUAACUAACAUGCAUUUAAAUAAUGAUUUUUGAGUGGUAAAAACUCCAAAUGAGCAUCCCCGGCGUUGGUUAUGCUCUAACUGUUAUUCAUUACCCUACUUUAAUAUGUCACAUCAGUUUUUUUGCCGCAUCAUCUUUUUUUUUUCAUAUCUCUUUUUAUCACAUAAUAAUUAAUUCAAUAAAUACUUAAAUUUUAAUCAACUAGAACUUUUGUUUUAAAAAUAUCAUUAUAUCCAUCUAUUUUAAUUCAUCAAAAACUUUUAUUAAAAUAAACAAUUAUCAAAUCUAAGUCAUUUUAAAAUAAUCGAUAAUUUGAACUUUAAUAUUCAAAAAUAAAUAAGAAUUAAGAAUGUAGAAUUUAUUUUUAAAAUCCCAUUUUUAGAGAUAGAAUAAUUUCUUAAAAAAUUAAUUAGAAAUUAACAAAUCAUAUGUACGAAUAAAUAUAACAAACCUCUAUUUAUAAAAUAAAAAAAAAUGAUGAAUUUUUAUAUAAAAUAGUUUAAUGAAUAAAUUAUUUUGUUACAAAAUAAUUGAGAUUAAAUAGUUAGGGUGUAUAAAAAAUGAUUUCAAUUUUAAUAAUAAAUAACAUGAUGAUACGUUACUUUUGUGGACCCUACUUUAUGGUAUUCAACUAGUUGAAAAAAUUCAACUCUAAUUAUUCCACCUAAGUUUUUUUGGUUUUUCAAUAUUUUCAUUACAAGCUUUCAACAGUUGAAUAAUUUAUUCAACUAAAUCAUUGUAAAUGGUCUAAAAUUUCAAAUUAGAUCAAGAGCCAGCUCUAACAUAGAUUAGAGGAAGCUUGUGCUGUAGAUGACAAAUAAGGAUAAAAUAUUGCAAGGACAUCCAAUUAACCAACAUGCAACUUGGUGUGACGUAAAAUCAACAUGUUUUCCACUUUUAGUAAGGUUCUAGCUUGACCCAUCUAUUCUAUUAAUUUAAAGUUAUUUUUUUAUCUAAUUAUAAAUGUUGUCAUUUAAAUUUGGACCUAUUCAUAUCUCACUAAGAAUAGAUAUCAAUACAUUUAAAAUUAGAUAUUUUUAAGUUCCCUUAAUUUACUUUCAAUAUAUUAAAAAUGUGUCACUCCUAUUUUUAUGGUUAACAACAUUAAUUUCAUCCUAAUUACUAUACAUCCGUAAAACAUUCACUAUUUAUUUUCAUUUAAAACUAUGGACAUUUCAUUGCACUUAAUUGUUUCUUAUUUACUCAUUUUAAAAUUUCGAAAGCCUAAUAGAGUUGUUUUAGUUGUGGUGCGUCAGAAAUAUACAACAACAUUGCUUGGAAUUUGACUAUUAAUAUGAAUUUAUGAUUGAUAAAUUAUAGUUAUACAACUAUAUGAUUUUUAUAAUAUAAUUAACCUUAAUAUUUUCAUAGCUAUAGUGAUAUAUAAAUAUAUAGUUGCUAUAUUAUAUGAUUUUAAUUAAACAUAUUUUACUCAGAUGUGGACUAACAUAUUAUAUCAUCAUUUCUAAAAUGGUUAGUUAUACUAUAAAACUAUAUACUAAAUAUAUUGUAAACUAAAUUAAUUUAAAAAAUAUAUUGUAUACAAAAAUAAUAUUUAAUAAAAAAGUAAAAUAUAUAAAUUAGAUCAAUAUAUAUUUAAGAAAUCUAAACAAUAAAGUUACACAAUAUAUAAAACUAAAAUGUAAAUUUAAUAUCAAAAUUAUACAUUUAUAAAAGAAAAAAAUAUUCGCGCAGACGUGCGGGUUCAAACUCUAGUUAUAGUUUUAUAAUAGUGGUCUGAAUAUGGAGUCUAAGAUUAUGAAGAGUGGAAAUAUAUAAUUUUGAUACACUGAAAUUCUCAUAGAGAACAAAAAACAUGAAUAGUAUACUCUUUACAUCAAGAAGAUGCAAAAUAAAUAUGAAUUAUUUUGAUAAAAUUCUAUAACUGUUCUCAUAAGUGGAAUAUGUAAGUUUUGUUGCAUCCUCCACCACAACAAUGAUAAUGAUGCAAUCGUCAACCAAAAACCUUCAAAUAACCAUGCAUCUCAAACCAAAAAUGUGAAUCAUGAAUAUAAAGCACAUAUUAAAAAGGAAAACAUUCCGCAUUUACAGCAGAAAAGGUGUGGUGUCAACACCAUUGCAAAAUUACAGAAACACUUUUGUCUAAACAUCUUAGGACUCUUAUGCAAUGUUUACAAACAAAAAAGCAUAUCUCACAUUAUGCAAUUGAUUUAUAUGUAAAUUUUAUUAUAUAAUUGACAUCAUAUCAAUAAUUUGUAUGAAAUAAGUAAAUUUGAUCAACACGACUAAAGUCCAUACUUGUACUUUGCACUUUAUUUGAUAAUUUUUUCCUUUUCUUUUGCUUGGUUUAUACACAGUAUUUUUUUCUUCAAUUAUUUCUAUUUUUUUUACUGAUUGUUUGAUGUAGCUUUCAUCUAAAAGAAUUUUAUUUACAAAAACUGUAAGUGCUUAUAAGCUAUAUAUACACAUUUAUCAAAACUGUUAUUUAUUUUUGGUUCCAAAUGCUUUCGACUUUGCUUUUCUGUACGUCAAUUUAAAUUUUUGUUUACUUUAGUCUUGGUUCUUUAGAUCAACUAAUUCCUUCUUACUCAUAUAAUUGUAAUUUUCGUUCGGUUUGGUUUUGUUUUUAUUCAAUUUAAUUUCUGGUUUACUUUAGUGUUGGUUCAUUAGAUUCCUUCUUACUCAAAUCAAUUGUUCAUUCGGUUUGGUUCUAAUCGAGUUAUUUUGUUAAUUUUGAGAAUUCAAACUUAUGUCUAAUAGAGCAUUACAAAUUUGUAACACAACUUGUUCACGGUAUCCAAAUAAUUGACAUCACAUUAUGCAAUUGAUUUAUAUGUAAAUUUUAUUAUAUAAUUGACAUCAUAUCGAUAAUUUGUAUGAAAUAAAUAAAUUUGAUCCACACGACUAAAGUCCAUACUUGUACUUUGCACUUUAUUUGAUAAUUUUUUCCUUUUCUUUUGCUUGGUUUAUGCACAGUAUUUUGUUUCUUCCAUUAUUUCUAUUUUUUUUACUGAUUGUUUGAUGUAGCUUUCAUCUAAAAGAAUUUUAUUUACCAAAACUGUAAGUGCUUAUAAGUUAUAUAUACACAUUUAUCAAAACUGUUAUUUAUUUUUGGUUCCAAAUGCCUUCGACUUUGCUUUUCUGUACGUCAAUUUAAAUUUUUGUUUACUUUAGUCUUGGUUUUUUAGAUCAACUAAUUCCUUCUUAGAGCAUCUCCAAAAAGGAACUCUAUUUUGAAGUUUCCAAAACUCUAUAUUUGAAGUUUCAAUGUGUUCUUCUCCAAAAGUAAAACUUUAAACCUAACUUCAAAACUAUUUAUAUUUUACACUAUGGUCCUUAUAUUUGUCAUAGUUAAUGUAAAUUCUUAAAACUUCUAUAAAUAACUAGUAUAUAUAUAUAUAAAUAUUACAGAAAUAUUAAUUAAAAAAUCUUACACUAAUAAACAUUUUAAUAAGUUUUUAUUAUGGUUUUUUGUAAUAUUUUUGUUGUUUAAUCCUAGUUUUAAAAUAUUGUAAAUCUUGUUUUAAAAUUUUUAUUUAAUUUCAUGUGUAAAACUUAAAUUUAUAAAACAAAUUUGAAAUAUAUAUGAGAUAUAAAAGUUAUAAAGAUUAAAACAAUAAACAAAAAUAUAUUUAAGAAUUAUAAAUAUGAUGUAUAAUUGUAAGGACCAAAAUGCAAAUAAAAAGAUGAAACUUUAAAUUUGAAGUUUUGAAAAGUGAAACUCUAUAUUUGGAGUUUCACUCUUCAAAACUUCAAAUUUGAAGUUUUGAAGUUUCUUUUUGGAGAGCAAAAAACUCUAUAUUUAAAGUUAUAGAGUUUCUUUUGGAGAUGCUCUUACUCAUAUAAUUGUAAUUGUCGUUCGGUUUGGUUUUGCUUUUAUUCAAUUUAAUUUCUGGUUUACUUUAGUGUUGGUUCAUUAGAUUCGUUCUUACUCAAAUCAUUUCUUCAUUUGGUUUGGUUCUAAUCAAGUUACUUUGUUAAUUUUGAGAAUUCAAACUUAUGUCUAAUAGAGUAUUACAAAUUUGUAAACAACUUGUUCAGGGUAUCCAAAUAAUCGAAAUUGUAACUUGGGAGACUACUUCUAAAAUCACAUAUAUUUCCAAAGACAUCGAUAUAUACUCAGUUCCAGUUUAUAAGCUGUACGUUAGUUUUUUCUCCGGUUAUAGUAGUGUAGUCAUGCAUACCAUGCAUACCUGCAUGUGUGAUAUGUCUUACUGACGUCAGAAUUCUUUAACUUAGAACAUGCAACCUAGGUGAAUUCUUUUACUUCGUAUUCUUUUACUUAGACUAUAUUAUUAUUUUCUGUAUUAAAAAGUCAUAUUUUUCUUUUAGAUAUUAAUAUUAAUUUCACGAAUAACAGCAACUUAUACAAAAUAUAGAAGUUUCAAGGCAAAGGCAACGCAUGUUCUGGUUAGACUUGUCUUCGGAAAAUAUCAAAACCUAAUACAAGAAUACAAAUUUGGGAACAAGACAAUAGUACUUCUGUGGUACUCAAAUAACUAGAAUAAUAUUCUCUUUAAGAAAAAAUCUUAUCUUCUGUUAACGUGGCGGCUUAUAACAUGUGUUUUUUCACUAAAUUUACACUCAAAUAAUAAAAUAAAAAGAAGUAAGAAGAAAAAUAAAAUAAAAGCCGUUAAAAUAAAUAUCGUUUCUGAUUUUAAUUUCAUCAAUAUAAUUAACACCCCACUCUUCACAGGAACAUUCACCACUCUCACUCAUCAGUGUCAAACAAUGGCAUCAUCUAUCAACGAAAUAUUCUCCAAAGAUAAUUUCAAGAAAAACAAGAAACUUGUUUUACUAUCAGCUGCCGUAGCAUUGCUCCUCGUGGCUGCCGUCACCGGAAUCGCCGCCGGAGCUUCAAAAGCCAACGGAAACAGAAAAGAACCUCUAUCACCGUCCUCUCACGCCGUGCUAAGAUCCGCUUGCAGCUCCACGCUGUACCCUGAGCUCUGCAUCUCCGCCGUGGCCACGUCUGGCGGCGUCAAACUGACGUCGCAGAAAGACGUCAUUGAGGCCUCGCUUAACCUAACAACAACCGCCGUGGAACACAAUUACUUCACCGUGAAGAAACUGAUCAAGAACAUGAAAGGACUGACUCCACGUGAGAAGACGGCGCUUCAUGACUGUUUGGAGACUAUUGAUGAGACCCUUGAUGAGCUUCAUGAGACAUUAGAAGAUCUCCAAAUGUAUCCUAACAAGAAAACUCUGAGGGAACACGCCGGUGAUCUCAAAACCCUAAUAAGCUCUGCCAUUACCAACCAGGAGACUUGUCUCGAUGGAUUCUCUCAUGAUGAUGCUGACAAGAAAGUUCGUAAGUUCUUGUUGAAGGGUCAGGUAUGUAAAAACAUCCAUUCUUUACCCAUUACGGCUAUCAUGUGGAAUUGCAUAAUAACUAAAUAUAAAUACGUGAAAUGUAUAAGAUAAGAUCAGUAUGAAAAAAAAUUGAUUUAAUUUAAAAUUUUCAAAUGUGGACAGAUAAAAUGCAUUUGUUUUGGUUCAAUAAAUUUAGUAUGGAAUCUGAAAUGGCUCAACAUAACGUCACUAUUCUGUUAUUUCAUCGCGGGGCUACGAAUGAAUGCGAUGAAACAAAAAUUAUAGAUAACAAGAAAACUAAAUAAAUCACACAUCGCAUCACAUUACUUUGACAAUUCUCUAUGUUUUUUUGUCACAAUACAAUUCUCUAUAUUUUUAUUGGUAUUUACUUUCUGAUAAUGAAAUGUUGUUAGCUAGUGCCUAGUGUUGGUAGAAAUAGUUGCUAUCAGUUGCUAUUGGAGUGUAUUUCAUUCUAAAAAUUUGUGAUAACAUGAUUAUUUUUAAUAGGCAUGUGCAUUUUACCGGGACCCAAAAAUCUGAUCCAGAACCGACCGAAAAUACCCAAUCUCAAAACGAACAAAAAGUUUACAAAUACCUAUUAGAUCUAAAAUUUCUCUACCGGAAGAACCAUAACCGAAAAAACCGACCGAAUAGACCCGGAUCCGAAAAGAACUGAUCUAAAUAGACCCGUCCCGAUAAAAACCGAUUCAUACCCGAUUUAAAACAUGAAUACUCAAACUAUGAUUUGUUUGUAUUCUAUUUUCCAUAUUUUAUUUUUAUGAGUUAGUUGAAAAUACUUUUUUGUUUUUUUUUUGAAAAAAAAAUAAUUUUUUUUGUUUUGUAGCAUUUUUCAAGUAAUACGAUGUUUUAAAUGUAGAAUUUAAAGUUUAAAAAUGUUUUAUUUUAAUUAUUAAUUAAAUUAUUUUUGUAAAAUUUUAUAUAUAUGACAUAUUUUAACUAAAUUUGAUGGGGUUAGGGUAUUGUAUGUUUUUUUAGAUCAUAAAUAUCCGAACCUAAUCUAGACUCAAAAAUUACAGGUAUUUUAUAGACACCAAACUGACCCAAACCCGUAAAAAACCAAUCCAAACCAAAAAUUUACAAAUACCUAUUGGAUGAAAUUUCUAGGACCCAAAAGAAAUUGGUCCAAACCGGACCAGAAAGCCCAAGCCUAGUUUUUAAAUAAAGUUUUAUAACGAGAUAAGUUAUGUGUAGGUACACGUCGAGCAUAUGUGCAGCAACGCCCUAGCAAUGAUCAAGAACAUGACUGAUACCGACAUAGCCAACUUCGAACUAAAAGCUAAAUUGUCCUCAAACAACCGUAAACUCAAGGAGGAGAAGACUCCGGAGGCCGUAGAUAUUGCCGGCUCCGAAGAAUUAGACGCCAAGGGGUGGCCUACUUGGUUAUCCGCGGGAGAUAGGAGGCUUCUUCAAGGGUCUUCAGUGAGAGCCGAUGCUACUGUGGCUGCUAAUGGUAGCGGUAAAUUCAAGACUAUUGCGG